GGUUUUUGAUCCUUUUAGCUCAGCAAGCUGGUAUUUCAUGACCUGAGGGACUUUGACCACAUUAUAGAGGCUGAGAAGUCCCACGGUAUGCAAGCUGGAGAACCAGGAAAGUCAGUAGUGUAAUUCAGUCCAAGUUCAAAUGCCUAAGAACGAGGGGAGCUGAUGGUGUAACUCUAACUGGAGGCUGAAGGCCUGAGGGGUGUUUGAGGGACAACCAGGAGCUCCAAUGUCUGAAUACCAUCCCAGCUUCAGAAGAGAAAGAAUUCACCCUUCCUCCACCUUCUUGUUCUAUAUGGACCCUCACUGGAUUGGAUGAUGCCUUCCCACAUAGAGAGAUCUUCUUUGCUCUGGCUGAUUCAAAUGCUGUCUCUUCUGGUAACCCUUCACAGACACACCUAGAAAUAAUGUUUCACCAGCUCUUUGGACAUCCCUUAUCCCAGUCAAGUUGACACAUACAAUUAAACAUCAUAAGCUCUGAGCCUUACUGCAGGGCAGAAAUGCAGAAA